UACGUAGGUGGCGAGCGUUGUCCGGAUUUACUGGGCGUAAAGGGAGCGUAGGCGGACUUUUAAGUGAGAUGUGAAAUACUCGGGCUCAACUUGAGUGCUGCAUUUCAAACUGGAAGUCUGGAGUGCAGGAGAGGAGAAUGGAAUUCCUAGUGUAGCGGUGAAAUGCGUAGAGAUUAGGAAGAACACCAGUGGCGAAGGCGAUUCUCUGGACUGCAACUGACGCUGAGGCUCGAAAGCGUGGGGAGCAAACAGG
rnacentral:rRNA from 1 species